rnacentral:rRNA from 1 species
GACGAACGCUGGCGGCGUGCUUAACACAUGCAAGUCGAACGGAAAGGCCCAGCUUUUGUGGGGUGCUCGAGUGGCGAACGGGUGAGUAACACGUGAGUAACCUGCCCUUGACUUUGGGAUAACUUCAGGAAACUGGGGCUAAUACCGGAUAGGAGCUCCUGCUGCAUGGUGGGGGUUGGAAAGUUUCGGCGGUUGGGGAUGGACUCGCGGCUUAUCAGCUUGUUGGUGGGGUAGUGGCUUACCAAGGCUUUGACGGGUAGCCGGCCUGAGAGGGUGACCGGCCACAAUGGGACUGAGAUACGGCCCAGACUCCUACGGGAGGCAGCAGUGGGGAAUAUUGCACAAUGGGCGGAAGCCUGAUGCAGCAACGCCGCGUGCGGGAUGACGGCCUUCGGGUUGUAAACCGCUUUCGCCUGUGACGAAGCGUGAGUGACGGUAAUGGGUAAAGAAGCACCGGCUAACUACGUG